UACGUAGGUGGCAAGCGUUAUCCGGAUUUAUUGGGCGUAAAGGGAACGCAGGCGGUCUUUUAAGUCUGAUGUGAAAGCCUUCGGCUUAACCGGAGUAGUGCAUUGGAAACUGGGAGACUUGAGUGCAGAAGGGGAGAGUGGAACUCCAUGUGUAGCGGUGAAAUGCGUAGAUAUAUGGAAGAACACCAGUGGCGAAAGCGGCUCUCUGGUCUGUAACUGACACUGAGGCUCGAAAGCGUGGGGAGCAAACAGG
rnacentral:rRNA from 1 species